ACCGCUCAGGAGCUCCUGGAGGAGGCAGGUGCAGGUGCCGGCUGCUGCAGCGCAGUAGCUGCUGGAGGCUGGCGAGGCCCGGAGGCGGUGCAGGAAGCCUCCGACCACGCGGGCUCCUGAUCGCGGGCGCCCACAGCGCGGACAUGGCGGGCUGGUGGCCGGCGUUGUCGCGCACGGCCCGGCGCCACCCGUGGCCCACCAACGUGCUGCUCUACGUUGCUCGAGCAACGUAGCUCUACGCUCUACGAGCGUGCCGUAGCUCGCUCGUCUCCGCCGGGGACGUGCUGCAGCAACGGCUGCAGGGCCGCUAGGCCGACUGGCGCCAGACGCGGCGCGUGGCCACGUUGGUGGUGACCUUCCACGCCAACUUCAACUACGUGUGGCUGGGCCUGCUGGAGCGCGCGCUCCCGGGCCGAGCGCCGCGCGCCAUGCUGGCCAAGUUGCUGUGCGACCAGGUGGUCGGUGCGCCCAUCGCGGUCUCGGCCUUCUACGCCGGUAUGAGCAUUCUCCAGGGAAAGGAUGACAUAUUUUUGGACCUGAAACAGAAAUUCUGGAACACCUAUAUGGAACAUGGAGCUGAUCCAGGACACCUCCCGCCCGCCACUGGAGUACGUGAAGGGGGUCCCGCUCAUCAAGUACUUUGCAGAGGCACUGGGGCCCCUGCAGAGCUUCCAGGCCCGGCCUGAUGACCUGCUCAUCAGCACCUACCCCAAGUCCGGCACUACCUGGGUAAGCCAGAUUCUGGACAUGAUCUACCAGGGUGGUGACCUGGAGAAGUGUCACCGAGCUCCCAUCUUCAUGCGGGUGCCCUUCCUUGAGUUCAAAGCCCCAGGGAUUCCCUCAGGGAUGGAGACUCUGAAAGACACACCGGCCCCACGACUCCUGAAGACACACCUGCCCCUGGCUCUGCUCCCCCAGACUCUGUUGGAUCAGAAGGUCAAGGUGGUCUAUGUUGCCCGCAACGCAAAGGAUGUGGCAGUUUCCUACUACCACUUCUACCACAUGGCCAAGGUGCACCCUGAGCCUGGGACCUGGGACAGCUUCCUGGAGAAGUUCAUGGUCGGAGAAGUGUCCUACGGAUCCUGGUACCAGCACGUGCAGGAGUGGUGGGAGCUGAGCCGCACCCACCCUGUUCUCUACCUCUUCUAUGAAGACAUGAAGGAGAACCCGAAAAGGGAGAUUCAAAAGAUCCUGGAGUUUGUGGGGCGCUCCCUGCCAGAGGAGACCGUGGACUUCGUGGUUCAGCACACGUCGUUCAAGGAGAUGAAGAAGAACCCUAUGACCAACUACACCACCGUCCCCCAGGAGUUCAUGGACCACAGCAUCUCCCCCUUCAUGAGGAAAGGCAUGGCUGGGGACUGGAAGACCACCUUCACCGUGGCGCAGAAUGAGCGCUUCGAUGCGGACUAUGCGGAGAAGAUGGCAGGCUGCAGCCUCAGCUUCCGCUCUGAGCUGUGAGAGGGGCUCCUGGAGUCACUGCAGAGGGAGUGUGCGAAUCAAACCUGACCAAGCGGCUCAAGAAUAAAAUAUGAAUUGAGGGCCCGGGACGGUAGGUCAUGUCUGUAAUCCCAGCAAUUUGGAGGCUGAGGUGGGAGGAUCAUUUGAGCCCAGGAGUUCGAGACCAACCUGGGCAACAUAGUGAGAUUCUGUU
ensembl:lncRNA novel transcript